GUAUUUAAAACGAUUUUACUUAAAAUUCGAAAAACCAUACGACUCACCUGUAAUUGUGUGAGCUGACACAAUUGCUGAGAGAGUUGCUGUUGGUGCUGUUGGUGCUGUUGGUGCUGUUGGUGCUGUUGGUGCUGUUGGUGCUGAUGUUGCUGGUGCUGCUGCUGUUGUUGGUGCUGGUGCUGUUGCUGCUGGUGGUGUUGAUGUUGAUGCUGGAACUGCAUGUGUUGAUGCUGCUGUUGCUGCUGAUGCUGUUGCUGCUGAUGCUGGUGCUGCUGGAGCUGAUGAUGCUGUUGCUGCUGUUGCUGCUGCUGAUUAUGGUGCUGCUGAAGUAUCAAAUGCGCGAGAUCCUGUUGUUGUUGGUGGUGAUGAAUCUGGUUGAGCAAAGCCACGGCAGCCGCAGUCGACGUGACCGGGUGACCAGCCAUGUGACCGGGAUGGUGCUGCGGUGGCGGAGACGGCUGUAAGUGCUGCCCGGGCAUGCCAUGCGCGUUCAAAUGAUGUGGGUGAUGGUGCGGAU